rnacentral:rRNA from 1 species
AUUGAACGCUGGCGGCAUGCUUUACACAUGCAAGUCGAACGGCAGCGCGGGCUUCGGCCUGGCGGCGAGUGGCGAACGGGUGAGUAAUGCAUCGGAACGUGCCCAGUAGUGGGGGAUAGCCCGGCGAAAGCCGGAUUAAUACCGCAUACGACCUGAGGGUGAAAGCGGGGGACCGAAAGGCCUCGCGCUAUUGGAGCGGCCGAUGUCGGAUUAGCUAGUUGGUGGGGUAAAGGCUUACCAAGGCGACGAUCCGUAGCUGGUCUGAGAGGACGACCAGCCACACUGGGACUGAGACACGGCCCAGACUCCUACGGGAGGCAGCAGUGGGGAAUUUUGGACAAUGGGGGCAACCCUGAUCCAGCCAUGCCGCGUGCGGGAAGAAGGCCUUCGGGUUGUAAACCGCUUUUGUCCGGGAAGAAAUCCUCUGGGCUAAUACCCCGGGGGGAUGACGGUACCGGAAGAAUAAGCACCGGCUAACUACGU